ACGUGCACAGGAAUCGCUGAAUUGACGCCUUAAAACGUGCAUAGAGCCGCUGGUUUUACUUAAAAAAAGGAAUCGCUGAAUUAACGCCUUGACGGUAUGUUUCCAGUAUUGCUUGGCUUGAUCGCUGGGUUGUUUCUUCGUUGACCGCCGCAGCGCCGCUGUUGGUCGCCGCCGUCUUGCUCCAGCCUUCAAGGCGUUAAUUAACUCGCUCGUUCAACUCUGUGUAUCUGCGGCUUUUGUCUCCUGACGAACGAGACGCCGGUAGUCUGC
rnacentral:lncRNA from 1 species